AUCCAACUGACGAAUCUCAAAUAGAAUGAAAUGCACGUUCUGGAU
rfam:Schistosoma rodhaini strain Burundi genome assembly, scaffold: SROB_scaffold0002432